rnacentral:Y_RNA from 7 species
GGCUGGUCCGAUGGCAAUGGCAUUUAUAAUAAUUGAUCACAGUCCGUUACAGAUUUCUUUGCUCUUUCUCCACUCCCACUGCUGCAUUUGACUAGUCUUUU